CUCUAUUGUCUUGGUGCUCGAAUG
rnacentral:piRNA from 1 species